rnacentral:rRNA from 1 species
GACGAACGCUGGCGGCGUGCUUAACACAUGCAAGUCGAACGGAAAGGCCCUGCUUUUGUGGGGUGCUCGAGUGGCGAACGGGUGAGUAACACGUGAGUAACCUGCCCUUGACUUUGGGAUAACUUCAGGAAACUGGGGCUAAUACCGGAUAGGAGCUCCCGCUGCAUGGUGGGGGUUGGAAAGUUUCGGCGGUUGGGGAUGGACUCGCGGCUUAUCAGCUUGUUGGUGGGGUAGUGGCUUACCAAGGCUUUGACGGGUAGCCGGCCUGAGAGGGUGACCGGCCACAUUGGGACUGAGAUACGGCCCAGACUCCUACGGGAGGCAGCAGUGGGGAAUAUUGCACAAUGGGCGGAAGCCUGAUGCAGCGACGCCGCGUGCGGGAUGACGGCCUUCGGGUUGUAAACCGCUUUCGCCUGUGACGAAGCGUGAGUGACGGUAAUGGGUGAAGAAGCACCGGCUAACUACGUG